GAGUAGUAUGAAAAGAGAGACAUUUAGUCCCCUAGACAAAGAUGAAACACAGGUAAAUUUAUAAGGCACUGUCGUCUUUCACUCAAGGUGACAAUUACCAAAUUUCU
rfam:Melipona quadrifasciata isolate 0111107301 unplaced genomic scaffold scaffold84, whole genome shotgun sequence.